GAUGAACGCUGGCGGCGUGCUUAACACAUGCAAGUCGAACGAAGCACUUUAUUACAAUUUCUUCGGAAUGACGAUUUAGUGACUGAGUGGCGGACGGGUGAGUAACGCGUGGGUAACCUGCCUUAUACAGGGGGAUAACAGUUAGAAAUGACUGCUAAUACCGCAUAAGCGCACAGGAUUGCAUGAUCUGGUGUGAAAAACUCCGGUGGUAUAAGAUGGACCCGCGUCUGAUUAGCUGGUUGGUGAGGUAACGGCCCACCAAGGCGACGAUCAGUAGCCGACCUGAGAGGGUGACCGGCCACAUUGGGACUGAGACACGGCCCAAACUCCUACGGGAGGCAGCAGUGGGGAAUAUUGGCACAAUGGGGGGAAACCCUGAUGCAGCGACGCCGCGUGAGUGAUGAAGUAUUCGGUAUGUAAAACUCUAUCAGCAGGGAAGAUAAUGACGGUACCUGACUAAGAAGCACCGGCUAAAUACGUAGCCAGCAGCC
rnacentral:rRNA from 1 species